rnacentral:rRNA from 1 species
GACGAACGCUGGCGGCGUGCUUAACACAUGCAAGUCGAACGGAAAGGCCCUGCUUUUGUGGGGUGCUCGAGUGGCAAACGGGUGAGUAACACGUGAGUAACCUGCCCUUGACUUUGGGAUAACUUCAGGAAACUGGGGCUAAUACCGGAUAGGAGCUCCUGCUGCAUGGUGGGGGUUGGAAAGUUUCGGCGGUUGGGGAUGGACUCGCGGCUUAUCAUCUUGUUGGUGGGGUAGUGGCUUACCAAGGCUUUGACGGGUAGCCGGCCUGAAAGGGUGACCGGCCACAUUGGGACUGAUAUACCGCCCAUACUCCUACGGGAGGCAGCAGUGGGGAAUAUUGCACAAUGGGCGGAAGCCUGAUGCAGCAACCCCGCGUGCGGGAUGACGGCCUUCCGGUUGUAAACCGCUUUCGCCUGUGACGAAGCGUGAGUGACGGUAAUGGGUAAAGAAGCACCGGCUAACUACGUGCCAUCAGCCGCGGUGAUACGUAGGGUGCCAGCGUUGUCCGGAUUUAUUGGGCGUAAAGGGCUCGUACGAGGUUGAUCGCGUCGAAAGUGUAAUCUUGGGGCUUAACCCUGAGCGUGCUUUCGAUACGGGUUGACUUGAGGAAGGUAGGGGAGAAUGGAAUUCCUGGUGGAGCGGUGGAAUGCGCAGAUAUCAGGAGGAACACCAGUGGCGAAGGCGGUUCUCUGGGCCUUUCCUGACGCUGAGGAGCGAAAGCGUGGGGAGCGAACAGGCUUAGAUACCCUGGUAGUCCACGCUGUAAACGGUGGGUACUAGGUGUGGGGUCCAUUCCACGGGUUCCGUGCCGUAGCUAACGCUUUAAGUACCCCGCCUGGGGAGUACGGCUGCAAGGCUAAAACUCAAAGGAAUUGACGGGGCCCCGCACAAGCGGCGGAGCAUGCGGAUUAAUUCGAUGCAACGCGUAGAACCUUACCUGGGUUUGACAUGGAUCGGGAGUGCUCAGAGAUGGGUGUGCCUCUUUUGGGGUCGGUUCACAGGUGGUGCAUGGCUGUCGUCAGCUCGUGUCGUGAGAUGUUGGGUUAAGUCCCGCAACGAGCGCAACCCUUGUUCACUGUUGCCAGCACGUUAUGGUGGGGACUCAGUGGAGACCGCCGGGGUCAACUCGGAGGAAGGUGGGGAUGACGUCAGGUCAUCAUGCCCCUUAUGUCCAGGGCUUCACGCAUGCUACAAUGGCUGGUACAGAGAGUGGCGAGCCUGUGACGGUGAGCGAAUCUCGGAAAGCCGGUCUCAGUUCGGAUUGGGGUCUGCAACUCGACCUCAUGAAGUCGGAGUCGCUAGUAAUCGCAGACCAGCAACGCUGCGGUGAAUACAUUCCCGGG